rnacentral:rRNA from 1 species
UACGUAGGGGGCAAGCGUUGUCCGGAAUUACUGGGCGUAAAGGGCGCGUAGGCGGCCUUCUAAGUCGAACGUGAAAUCCCCGGGCUCAACCCGGGAACUGCGUCCGAUACUGGGAGGCUUGAAUCCGGGAGAGGGAUGUGGAAUUCCAGGUGUAGCGGUGAAAUGCGUAGAUAUCUGGAGGGACACCGGUGGCGAAGGCGGCAUCCUGGACCGGUAUUGACGCUGAGGCGCGAAAGCUAGGGGAGCAAACGGG